CGCUGGCAGCAAGUGCAGCCUCCCACAGCUGCAGCUGGCCUCCAAAAGUAACGCAGGAAACACAAAACAGCAAUGUUUCUCCCAGAUCGUUGUGUUCCUGUUCCCGCAACCUGAUUCACGUGCCCCCAAAGCGGCAACUCAGCUCAGAUCCUCCUCCCUCCGCCCGCGUCUUUCAGGGUUCCACGCAGAGGGGAAACCGGAGCGUAAACUAAAAAAACCAAGGCGUUUUGGCCCUUUAACAAUACAAAGAGAGGGUGGAUAGGGGAGGAGGCCCAACUGCGUCUAGUGCAAUCGCAACAUUUCCCCUCAUGGUUCCAAUAAGGCCACCACAGCACAAAGCAUCACAUCCUAACUCUAGUAUCUCAAGCCAAAGCUCUUUGCUAUGGCCUGGGAAAGUAGUAGAAGAUGGCCCAAGUCCUUGAGUCCCUGCACCCAUGUGGGAGAUCCGGAAGAAGCUCCUGGCUCCUGGCUUUGGAUCAGCACAGCUCCAGCCAUUACGGCCAUCUGGGAAGUGAACCAGCAGAUGGAAGACCUCUCACUCUCUCUCUGCCUCUCUUUCUCUCUCUGUGUAAC